CGGAGCGAGGGGAGCGCGGCUCCGCUGCAGCAGCUCCGGAGCCCGGCACGGCGCUCCGCAGAGCGUGACAGCCGAGCCUUCCGCACGGCAUCGCCACGGCGUGGCUCGCCUCGACCCCUUUAACUUUAUUUCGGGGUUUUGCGGGUUCGGGGGUUUGGUGGCCGCACGUACCCCGACACUGUAACGCGACCUCCGUUCUGUACCACGAGCAGGUAACAGAGCUAAGCACGGGGACGUGUUUAUUUGCCGCUGAAUGGAGCUACUGGCCAGCGGAGCGGGGACUCGAGUCCGUCUCCCGGUGAAAAUGGCCAAAAGACACUCGAACAAGCGAAGGGACGGAGAGAUAAAAUAGAAAACAUGUUAGCACAGACAGAUAAAUGCCCGGCCGGACCGUUCUUCCUCCGCGAACACACGCGUCUGUGAGCGCUCGCAUCCCAGCCGGUCACCAAGCACGGCCGCGGGGACACAGACCUGGGCACAACUCUGUCAGGGAUUCAUUGCCCCUCACCUCCUCACACACACUUUUUCAUGUUGCCACAUGCCCACACACUUGUGCCGCAGAAAUAAAACGUGUGGCUAAAGCCGCAGGUGCGGAGAUGGUUGGAAAGUUGUAAAAAGCACCUCGACUUGAGGGUGUCCUGCCGGGAAACCUGGCGUGUUUCAGACCCCACGGGCGAAGAGGUUUUUGCGACUCAAUUUCAAAGACAAGGCUGCAGCGUUCCCAUUGAUCCUCACGGAGCAAAAAAUAACCUUUACCCGAAACAGUGACCAGGAGGGACUGGGAAGACAGAAAGUGGGGAAGGAAUCUUUCCAGGUUAAAAUGUGGGGAACUGCCUUAUGGUUUCCAAACAAGCCAGAGCUGAGGAGGUGACCUUUCGGGGAGGGUAGGAGAAGGUGGGGGUUCAAAAUACAGAAUAGCCACAGAUUGUUGCUGAUGUUGGAUUUCCUGAGGAAAAAAAUAAAAGCCAAAACCCAAAGCACAACCCAACACCAACCUUUCCUGUCUCGAAUCUGACAAAGUAAACAGGAUUAAUUCACCAUAUGAAAAAACAUAAACGCCGUCCUAACAAAUGCAGAAAUCACAAGAGAAAGCGGUUUUAACAGGACGCACAAUAUUAAUAGUUUGAACGUAUGAUCGUAAAAAUGAAAAACCAUUGAAAUACGCUUAAAAGCCGCCGUAUACGCUGAUUGCUCAAGCAUUAAUGAAGAAUGCCCCAGAUUAACUAUUUGCUCUUCGAGGGAUGCAGCGAUAUAACUAUCUAUUAGCACCAUUAGAUGCUUUGCUAUUUAUUUGAAAACACCCCUGCGAGUGGGUUGAGACAGAAGAGAUGAAUGUAAAAAUGAACUGCAGCUAAUUUCGCUAAAUAAUCCUCGAAACCUGAGCGCUUCGCAAGGAACGGGGAGAUUCUCCACUGUCCUUCUCCGAGGCUUAAUGACAAUAGAAAUGCUCUGGUUUAAAAGUGAGACCGUGUUGGUUUUCCAAAUAAACAAACGCAUCCCUCCUGCCAUUUUACUGCAGAUGUAAAUUUAUUUUAAUGAGAGGGAGUGGAAGGAUUUAUUUUGCUAAAAUUGAGUUGGGGAUAGAGUCGGUGUAAAUCUUUAGGUUUCAAAAAGAGAGGAGGAAGGAGGGGGAAGCUGCUUUCCUGGCAGAAAGCUGCCUAACAGUCCUCUAAUUCUUUCUAGAUUAAAUCGCAAUAUGAAUACAGCAUCGAACAAAUACCGAGUUUCGCUCUGAACUCAGUGGAAAGCAGUUACGUCUAACAGAAUUCAAUGAAUUCCUCUUCUCCCUCAAUGUAGUAUGUGUGUGUUUUUCUCUUCCACCACACUGAAGUUCCAUGAAUAGGGAAAGUGGCUCCUAUUGUGUGCCUCUGAACUUCCAAGUCAAUGCAAUUUUUAACCACUGGCUUGUGGUACUUUGAAAAUCACCAGGGGCUGUCAGAGUUGGGUCCUCUGAAAAAUUUACAGUGCUAAAUCAGAGCAUAUGCUGUGAGAGAGGAAAAAAAAUUGCUUAAGAUUGGAGCAAGUACAGUAUCUGGCUGCCCCCUAGUGUAAGUCUCUUAUCUGCCUAAAAUUCAACUUUAAAAGAAAAGGAUCUCUUAAAGGGAAACGACUUUUGGCUCACGUAUGCAUACGAGAAUGAAACUUCUGUACAUUUUAAUCUGAUUAAUUCCUAAGGAUUUAAAAUUAAUUGGCUUGGGCACUCCUAGACCGGACUAUAAGAUUUCUGCAUCAGGGUUUCUGCGAGAGCUGUGCCGAAUAGGUAUUUUUAAGGGAUAGUGGUAAGGGAUUGGGUUGGGGGGGGGGGGGGAGAUCCUGUUUUGUGAUUUUUUUUUUUUUUUAACGAGGAUCCGAGCCUCGCUUGCUGUUGUCAGAGCAAAACACUUCUGCCGCUUAAAGUCAGAUCUACGUCUUUUGCAAUAAUACUUAAAAAAAAAAAAAAAAAAAAAAGAAGGAUAAAUAAUUGCCUUAAAGCCUCAGCCGAACUGCCAACCACACCUUCGGAUGGCUUCUCCGGACCUUGUCUGGGUUUAAUCACAGGCUUUGGGACAAAAUGUGCAUUAUUAAGAAGUAUAAAUAUUUUCAGAAGCAAUCAAAGGGUUGAAAGAUUGAUUCGGCAUGUAGAUUGGAUUUAAUUCGAAGCAGCUUUGUUCUAAUGAGGACUACUGGGAUACAAAGACGGCAGCCGCUUAUGGCCACCAGUUGGGAACUUCCACGCGCUGCAGCAACCUGUCAAGAAUUCCAAGGAACUGCCAGGGUAAAAUUGCCUGCAGGGUACGUUUGCUGAAGCCUGUUAAUUCCUCCUGAGGUCAGCGGGUACCGGGUGCUGGGCAGCACAGCCUCUCCUGGCCGGGCGCGGUGGGCUCCGGCUGCUUCCCAAGAGACAGGGACAGUGAUGAAGAACGUGGGAUUUCCCACAGGAAUCUGGAAGACGCCCAUGUCUAAGGCAAUGGUGAGGAUUGGGCCAAAAUCCAGCCUUGAUUCCUUCACUCAAGUGACCCUGUGCUGACCCAUGGCUGCCGAUGGAUCGCAGUGAUGUGGACCUUCCUCCCUCCCUGCCUCCCUCCUCGCUGCCCUGCAUCAGAUCACCAGGAACACCUGAGAGCACUGGAUGAACCAUCACGAGACCAUGAUCGGAAAGCAGGGGGACCAAGCACUCAAAGGUGGCUGAUGCAGCUGGUUCCCUGGCCCUGGGCUCAGCUCUUGGUCAUGGCACAAGCACCAGAGGCCAGAGGUGGGGACUCUUUCUGUCUUGGCUACUCCUCAUCAGUGCUUUGAGCUGCAGGAAGCCCUGAGAACCAAGGAAACACGAGUGCACCACCAGGGAUUUGCUCCUCUCUACACCUGAGGCACAGCACAAAGUUCCACCCUUUGCUUCUGCAGCAAGUUCUUGUUACCCAAUUCCUGCUGGCAACAGAGGAAGAGGCACAAGUCAGCUCAGAAAAUGAACGACUAGAAGGAAACAGAUUAUCUGUUCUCUGAGGAUAGUGGAAACCGAGUAUGAUGAGCUCAUCUGGAGAAAAUGUAGGUUGGGUGUGACAGAGAAACUUGUGUUUUAUACCUCAGUGACAUCUUAAUUUCUGGUUUUGGUAUGACAGACUCAGUGAUACUGAACCAUGCUGGUUCCUGCUUUCAGGCUGGGGUCACAAGUUUGACUUGGAAGAAGGAACUUCCAUGCAGAGAUGUGACUGCAGUGUGAAUGCUGUGCCAGGUUUUCUUUACAGAUGAAACCUGGAGUGUCCUAAAAUCCAGAAACUACUCAAUACCAGCAACUUCCACACCCCUGUGUGCUCCUGCCAUUGCUUUGAACCAGUUUAUUUAUUCAUUUGGGCUCUGAGCACUCGGAUGCAUUCCUUCUUGCUGCAGCAGCAGGGGUACAGGAAGGGGUGUUUGAAGCCACGCAGUCAAUUCCACCCUGGAUUUCAGGAGGAGUUAUUCUUGUCUCAGGGAUGACGCAUUCAAAUAUCCCUCUACGGAUUCCAGGUGAGUUAGUCACAUUUAGAUGCUUCCAAGUAAUACACAGAAAGGUGGUGAGAAAAUGAUGAGUCUCUGCCUAGUCACAAAAAGAAAAAAAGCUCAGGAAAGUAGAUCUGAGCAAAUUAUAUGGGCUAGCCCUCAAGAUAUUCUAAAAAGACCUGGGGCCAAAGGGCUUUUGCCUUAAAAACAGUAGGGAUGCACAGUAUUUACUUUACUGACUGACCCAUCAGCUGCUCUCUGUCCCCAGAAACAGUUCAGGAAAUAACUGGAAGUAUCUGAAGACAUAAAAAGGAUAAUUAAGUUUCAUUGUGGAAAUAAGAGGGUAAUCUGUCCAGACAAAUCUAGGACCUAGUACUGAAAGCUGUAGUAUCUGAAUAUAAAAAAUGAGUAAUUUUGAAAAGAGAUGUCUAUCAGGACUGUAAAUUCAGAGAGUAAAAAAGUAGCUUUGCUUAAUAGACCAUCUCUCUCUCCAUCUCCCUCUAACUCAUUUUCUUAUUCUCUUUCUUCCCUCUGUGUUAUUGCAAAAAAAAAAUGUGUGCAAAAUAUGAUAUUGAGAAUGCUUUAGCUUCAUUUCCAUCUUCUAUUCUCAAAAUGUUUUGUUCCACUGGGAAGAUUUCCCCUGGGAGAUAACCUCAGCCAUGGCUGCACGAGGCUUGUGGGGUGACUGGUUUGCAAAGCUGCAUUUUGAGGUGGCUCUGGGGCAGCCACGUCCCCCCUCUUCUGAGGCUCUUAAGGAUAUUUGUGAGCUGGCAUGAGAAAUCACCUGGGACCCAGAGCAGACCACAAGUGCUUAGGACAGUGUUUUCUCUGCACCUUUUCUUGCUGAGCAGAGCUGCAGCACCAUAAACAAGUGUGAGUUUUGCCUCAUUCUCAGGUCCUGUGAGUUAUGAAAGCCCACUCCAGAUGUAAUGAAUGUAUAGAUCACUUUGACCAGAUCAUAAUCUAUUAGUAAAUGAUGCUCUCUGAAAAUGUAUAGGUGAAAUAAAGAACUUCUUGCUACUAUUGCUGUAUUGGUAUCAAGGAUUACUGUGGAGGCCAACACGAUCCUCAGGCUUUGUGCUACUGACAUUUAAAUACAAUGCAGAAUUAACUACAGGGUUUGGUUGGUAAAUUCCCUUCUGGAUUAGGAUAUUCAGGGCUUACACUGCUGGAAACAGAACCCAAAACUAUACAAGGCUUACAUCUGCCUUGGCCUCAGCUCACUGACACCCUCAUUCAUAUUUACAGAAUUUUUCCAUUAGAUUCCUAAUUUUGGUGCUGAUAUUAAUUAGCAAAUCACACAAUAAUUUUCAGCAUGAGUAGACAGAGCAAGCCCCUAUAAUACCUAUGGCUUUUCCUUGCUAUCCCUGGAGGAAGCCCAAGGGUACCAGACUAAGACCUAAGGCAAAUUGUCAGCACAGUCUGUAGGCCAUGGGAAGGUUAGGUUUAAAGAAGAUGUCACUUUGGGGACAUCUGUGUGACACAUGCUGCAGUGUCCAGACAUUGGAGACUAUGUUUUUGCUCUAAAUCUAGAGAGGAAGUCAAUAGGAAAAAAAAAAAAAAAGGGAAAGAAGCACAGGGGAAUAAAAGUACUUUUGAAAGAGAAGAAAUCUACAUUUCAAUGAAAAUCCUUUCAAGGCAUUUCAAAUAAGAGUCUGAGAGAAAUAAUUACAAAGUUUGGAGAGAAAGAACGUUAGCUUUGAUAUCUUUUUCUUCUAUGAAGCAAUUAAAAUAAGCAAUUUUUCAAAUACUAAGCAGAAAAUUACUAAUGGCUGAACCCAAAAGCUUUCAUUUCCUUCUUGGGGCCUUUAUUCUUCUAAAAAAAGACAAAAAAAAAAUGUGAAGGUGGUUUUCCAGAUAGAUUAAUGCAUAAAGCAGCCGCUGGUUGGAUGUCAUAAAAACUACAGCAGCAUAGAAUAGCUGAGAUUAAGAGCUAGAUUUAAAUCAUGCAACAGUCCAGUUAAUAUCAAUGUCUAAUUAAGAAAUGCAUAAGAAGUCUGUAAUGUUGAUUUGAUGGAGAAAAACUCUAAUAGGGUUUCUUUUGGAAUUUUCCAUUUCAAUUGCUGUGUAGACUUUUAAUGGAUGUCCUAUCCAGUCUUUGGUAUUAGCAGGAAUCAUCCUCAAAUUAAAACCAAGGCCUAAAAUGGAACACAGGUAGACAAAUUAGCUGGUCUGGGAAGCAGCCUGGGCAGAAUGACAAUGUGAGCUGAAGCCGAAAUUUGAGUACAAAUAAAAGAGAAUAAAAGUCUCAAAUCUGGCGUGGAAACCCUCUCUGCUUCUCGUUUGAAACAAUCUAAAACCCUGUAAUUUGAAACAAUGCAAUGUUAACCCAUUUCCCCACCUCCCUGAGCCUGCAGAAAUCCCUGACAAUUCAUACUUAUACACCUAGACCACUAGGCAUUAUUAAUUAGUCUUUUUUAUUUAAAAGGCUUUCCAUAGUUAUGCAUAUUAGGAGUGUGUAGAGGUGGGUUCUUCUCUGCCUGUGAUGGGAUUUCGAGCACACAGGUCCCUGUCACCAUCAACGAGCACCAUUAAUCUCCCACUCCUCUCUGGGUAACUAAAUCUCUCAAACCCCUGGAGCAAAACUAAGCCUGUGGCGUCUUCUGUGUCCCAUGGAUCAUCCAAGACAUUUGGUCUCUAGAUAUGAGAGGGGAACUGGUUUUGAGCACAUGACUGAUGCCCUGAAGUUGCUAAAAGAGGAGCAGUGUAACUCUUGGUAUGCACAAGUCCAUUUAGCAAAGAGGGGGAAAGCACAGUUAAAGCAGCACUGUAUUUGUUAUCACCACUCUGCUGUUGAUCCAACAGAUCCAGAGGGAAUGAUCUCAAGGAUCCAGGAAGAUGGCACACUCAGAAGAACCCCUCUGACCAGUGCAUGCUGGGGAAUAAUUUUAAAGUUCAUUAGAACACCUUAAAAUAUAAUACAUUGGCCAUGGCAAAGCAAGGCACGUGAUUCCAUCUGUCUACACGUCUCUUUCCAGUAUUAAAUCCAUCCAGAGACCUUUCAGAAUUAUAUCAUUAAGUCUUGUCACUUCCACAGAGAGUGGGAACGACUGGAGGUGAAAAUCAGAGUAACAGUGAAAUUUUGGCACUUUUAUUUUUGGGUCAUUGCCUGAAAUGUCACAGUCCAAAUUCAUGCCUGACAUUGCUCAGUUGACCCAUGAGGCACAGAUAUAUCAUAUUAAAGAGUGAUACCAUGGCCCUGGGGCAUGCCCCAAGGAUUUUUCACCUUGAGAUGGGAACAAGGAUGCUCUCAGUGAGGCAGCUGCCUUCUCAGUGGUACAGGAGGUCUGAUGUGAGGACACUCAGGCCACCAGAGGAGUCUGGGUUUAUUUACCACGCUCUUGACUGUAAAACUGGGAGGUGUCAUGGGUCAGGAUGAUGCUAGAGGAUUAUUCAGGUGAAGUUCUAACAGGGUACUUUGUCUGCACAAUUUAUUAGAUUUAUGCAAUACUUAGGGAAAAACAAGAGUAUGAAGCAGCCUGUCCUUUGCAAACACACACAACAGAAAAAAUCCCAAACCUUAACUUGUCCAACACACUUGAGAGCCACAAAUUCUGUUAGAGUUUUGCUAAAUGAGAGGAAUACUCCUCCCCUCCUGUAUAAAACCAUCCUUUUAGACAUUACUGCAGUCAUGACCUCACCGCAGUUCCUGGAUUCCUUCUGAAAAGAUUAAAAUGAACUAAUACACAAAUGAUCUCAUCACAGCAUAAAGGACAUCUUACACAGGGGGGAAAAACUAAUCAGGAGAACUUCAGUGCUGCACUUGUAGUAGCAGUAGAAACAGAACUGUAACACCACUGUGGAAAAACAAACUAAAGGUACAAUGCCAGAGAGACAUUUUUCCAUCCAAUGAACCAUUUGGGUUUGUCCUAUCUCAUCCUGCCUGUCUCACCUGUCAUCCUCUUAGCUGUCUCCGCAUCUAUCAUCUUUCCCUUUUUCCUGCCUUUAUCUACAAUUUCCUUUGUCUAUUCUGUGCCUUUCCCACCUGUUUUAAUAUUCCUGGUAACUUUGAAUUGUGUGCACUACUAUUCUCAACGACAUCCAAAAUGCAUUUUGCAGAGUACAUUCAUACAGUCACCUUACACAAAAGUAUUCACACAUACUUCAUCUGUAGUUUAUGUCAUUCUGCAUUAAGAACACCUUUUCUAUGUUUUCAUACAGUUCUCACCCCAAGGGGUCAUGGAUGGUGACAGCUCUGAUCUACUUUGGAGCUGUUCUAUCCUCUAAGAGAAAUCAGGAAGAUGAGCUGGGAGAGAUGCUUUACUUUCUUUGGUAGGACAAUCUAUAAAUUAACAUUUAUGUAAGUGAGACUCUCACCACAUUUUUAAUGUUAUGUCACAUUCGAGGCUGGAAAACAGAAUGUCUUGGAACUAGGUGAUCUUGGAGGUCUUUUUCAACCCAAGCUUUCCUGUGCUUCCAUGAUCUCCAGAACAAGAUGGAUAGAGUGUUACUAAUGCAACCUUAUCUCUGGUGCCCACGGGUGCUCCUCAGCUCUGCCUUGAGGUGACACCGUUAAGCAAGAGGUGACAAACCGGUUUCCUUUCCCAAGGAAAUGUCACGUAACGUCCCAGGGCCCCCUUUGGUGGGUGUUGCACCCUGAUUUUCAAGGAGAGAUGUGCUGCUGUGGCCCCUUCCCAGCCUGGCAGGAGGAGCUGAAGCUGCCCAUUCACCGCAGUGACAUUUCUCAGGCAGGAAGAGAGGCAGAAGGGGGAAAUGUAGGGAGGGAUCAGGGCAGCCACCUUUGGACACUGGCAAAGAAACCUGCAGAACUCAUCCAGAGAUGAGCUCCCAGACCAUGCUGGUACUAAGGGUGAUGGUACCUUUCUAUCCACUCAACAAGAUUUGCUGCUCCUAAUUGGGGGAGCAAAUACAUCCAACCCCAAAUGCUCUGCAGCUGAUAGACCUGCUUCAGCGAAGAGCGCCCUGAGCAGUGAUGAGUGUUGUAGGAUAUGUGCUGCAGCAUUAGGACAGCCCAAACAGCCCAAGGAGCAGCGCAGAUCAUCUGUCACCAACAAGAAAACAGCAUGUGAAAAGCUGCUGUAGCUCCUGUCCCCAGCAGCCUAACUGGAGGCACAGACUUCCCAAGGCUUGGAGGACUUGGAGAGCUCAGGAUCCUCAGUGACAUCUCUCCCCAAACGCUGCAGAUUUACCAGGUCAGCUCAGUCCAGGCCAAAGUUGCCAGGAAAGGUCCUUGGCUGUGCUCCAAGUUCAGUGCUCUAUUGAUUGGAGAGGUAUUUAUUGUAGGUCAGGAUCUUGAGCCAAGACAGCUGAAGCUGCAAGGACUAAAUUGUCUAUUCCCGACCCACAGAUAAAACAAAUGGCCAGUUUUAGCCUAAUCAUCACUUCUGCCUGAGGAGAGAGAAACUCUUUGAGGUUUAUCUCUAAUUCUGUUGGAAUUGAUUGAAAUUAUUCCAUUGACUUCAGCAAACUCUGUUUUCUGCUGGAUUAAAGGCAAUAUUUGUGCAUCAGAUUUGCUGGUGAUGUCCCACUAAUGAAGCAGGUAAUUUUAUAAACAUGUCAGGGAGGGUAAGUGCCCAAUAAAAAGAUGUCAGACAGAGAUGCACAAAUUGCAGACUAUUUGUAAUGGAAAUAAAACCAGGAAUUCUUACUGUGAGUCAUGAAUUUCUUUAUAAUAAUUGCUUCCACAUUUGGGGAAACUUUUCCCUAGGUUGUCUACAGAAACCCUGCAAUUCUUGGGGCUUCUGAUGGCACUUAUGAUCACAACAACGCAUCUCAUUUCUGAUAAAAAUUACUUACUUUGGGAAGGAUUUUUUUUUUCUCGAAUUGCUUUCCUGAGUCUUUAUCUACAACUAUUUUCUUAUCCUCCUCCUCAUUUUCUAUUUCUAAUAUAAAACCAGGAAUCCUUAUCAAUUUACAAGAGCAAUAAAACUAAAGAAAAUUCAGGCAGAACUGUAAAGCAGAGUCUAUUUUAAAGUUCCAACUCAGAUAAUAAUACUCUGGUUUGUGCUGCACCUCACUCAUGGACUCAGUUUUCCAUAGUGCAUUCAGUGUUGUAAUAAUGCAAAUCAAAUACAAUUUUAAUAACUCCUUCCAUUAAUGUUUUAAGACUGCAACACUUAUGAGCAUGAUUCUAAUUGCAUGAUUUUGCUACAGGCAAGUUUUAUGGAUCUGUCUGAUCUUUGGAUAUUUGCACCGUUUGGAUUAUUUUAAAUAAUUAAUUUUUGGAAGAAUUUCAGUCUGGGUAACAACAGUUGGGUUUGAUAGUGGUUGUCUUGUCAGUAAUUGUACGUAUUUGCUUUCAUGCCAGGAUAAACCAGAUAAAUUUAGAACUCUUUGGGAGGAGGGGGCUGAAGUUUAUACCGUGGCAAAUGUUAUGGAGAAUGUUCUUAGGAGGGGAAUAUUUAUAGACUAUGUUAAUACAAGGAGCAAAAGAGGUUUAAAGUGAAUAAAAUUUUGUCAUGCAACACAAUUAGUUAAUUAAAUUGCAGGACUUUCUGCCAAAAGAAUACCAAAAAUAUAAUCAACUUAAAAUACCAUUAAACAUUCUUGUUUUAUGCAACUUCUAU